CUGAUGCGUUGUUGGGUAGGGGAGCGUUCUGUAAGCCUGCGAAGGUGUGCUGUGAGGCAUGCUGGAGGUAUCAGAAGUGCGAAUGCUGACAUAAGUAACGAUAAAGCGGGUGAAAAGCCCGCUCGCCGGAAGACCAAGGGUUCCUGUCCAACGUUAAUCGGGGCAGGGUGAGUCGACCCCUAAGGCGAGGCCGAAAGGCGUAGUCGAUGGGAAACAGGUUAAUAUUCCUGUACUUGGUGUUACUGCGAAGGGGGGACGGAGAAGGCUAUGUUGGCCGGGCGACGGUUGUCCCGGUUUAAGCGUGUAGGCUGGUUUUCCAGGCAAAUCCGGAAAAUCAAGGCUGAGGCGUGAUGACGAGGCACUACGGUGCUGAAGCAACAAAUGCCCUGCUUCCAGGAAAAGCCUCUAAGCAUCAGGUAACAUCAAAUCGUACCCCAAACCGACACAGGUGGUCAGGUAGAGAAUACCAAGGCGCUUGAGAGAACUCGGGUGAAGGAACUAGGCAAAAUGGUGCCGUAACUUCGGGAGAAGGCACGCUGAUAUGUAGGUGAAGUCCCUUGCGGAUGGAGCUGAAAUCAGUCGAAGAUACCAGCUGGCUGCAACUGUUUAUUAAAAACACAGCACUGUGCAAACACGAAAGUGGACGUAUACGGUGUGACGCCUGCCCGGUGC
rnacentral:rRNA from 1 species